UGUGUGUGUUUCUUUUCUUUUCUUCUCUUUUCUUUUCUUUUCUUCUGUCUUUCUUUCUUCUAGACGGGG
rnacentral:ribozyme from 1 species